rnacentral:lncRNA from 1 species
AGCUGUGGGUCACGGAAGAGAACCAUGAAACCCAGCUACUAGUGUUCAGCUCGAUUAGGAUGAACCCAGGCACUUAGCCAUGCGGGAACAAUGGCAAGCCUUUAGCCCGAUCCGGAGUGGCAAUGGGCGCCUCACUGGAUCAGGAGCAGAGCAGACACCCUGCCAGAUCCGGAGGGGUGGAAGUCAGCGGCGGGUCUGCAACAGCGACAAACAGCAGUGGUGGACGGCAAGCGAAAACUUAGCUUGAGCUGUAACAAAUAUGGACCAGAAGAGUGUGCAAUUGCAAGAUUUUAUACAGUGAAAACAGAGCUCCCAUACAAAGGGAGGGGACCCAAAGGGGGUAGCUGUUGCUGGCUUGAAUGCCUGGGUUUAUAUCCUGAUCAUUGUCCCUCCUGCUGUGCUCUCAGGCAAUAGAUGAUUGGCUAUUUCUUUACCUCCUGUUUUUGCCUAAUUAGCAUUUUAGUGAGCUCUCCUUACUAUCUGAUUAGUCGGGUGUGAGCUAAGUUGCAAGCCCUAUGUUUAAAGGUGGAUGCGGUCACCUUCCCAG